rnacentral:rRNA from 1 species
AUUGAACGCUGGCGUCCGGCCUAACACAUGCAAGUCGGCCGAGUGGCUGACGGAUGAGUAAUGUCUGGGAAACUGCCUAAUUGUGGGGGAUAACUACUGGAAACGGUAGCUAAUACCGCAUACCAUCCGAUGUUCCCAGAUGGGAGUAUAGUUUUGGGUGGGUAACGGCUCACCAAGGCGACGAUCCCUAGCUGGUCUGAGAGGAUGCCCCGACACACUACAACUGAGACACGGUCCAGACUCCUACGGGAGGCGGAAGUGGGGAAUAAUGAACAAUGGGCGCAAGCCUGAUGCAGCCAUGCCGCGUGUAUGAAGAAGGCCUUCGGGUUGUAAAGUACUUUCAUCGGGGAGGCGUUACCCGCAGAAGAAGACCCGGCUAACUCCGUGCCAGCAGCCGCGGUAAUUC